rfam:Schistosoma mattheei strain Denwood, Zambia genome assembly, scaffold: SMTD_scaffold0011976
GCACUGCCGAGGAGUCCCAUUGUGGGACGAAACGGCCGUCCAGUGC